CAGUAGCCGCGGGAAUACAGAGGGUGCGAGCGUUAAUCGGAUUUACUGGGCGUAAAGCGUGCGUAGGCGGCUUCUUAAGUCGGAUGUGAAAUCCCUGAGCUUAACUUAGGAAUUGCAUUCGAUACUGGGAAGCUAGAGUAUGGGAGAGGAUGGUAGAAUUCCAUGUGUAGCGGUGAAAUGCGUAGAGAUCUGGAGGAAUACCGAUGGCGAAGGCAGCCAUCUGGCCUAAUACUGACGCUGAGGUACGAAAGCAUGGGGAGCAAACAGGAUUAGAUACCCCCGUAGUCCCUGUCUCUUAUAC
rnacentral:rRNA from 1 species